AUACGGAGGGUGCAAGCGUUGUUCGGAAUCACUGGGCGUAAAGGGCGCGCAGGCGGUUUGGUAAGUCAGAUGUGAAAGCCCACGGCUCAACCGUGGAAGUGCAUUUGAAACUGUCAGACUUGAGUACUAGAGGGGAAAGUGGAAUUCCCGGUGUAGAGGUGAAAUUCGUAGAUAUCGGGAGGAAUACCGGUGGCGAAGGCGACUUUCUGGCUAGAUACUGACGCUGAGGCGCGAAAGCGUGGGGAGCAAACAGGAUUAGAAACCCCUGUAGUCC
rnacentral:rRNA from 1 species